GGCCCCUUCGUCUAGCGGUUAGGACGCCGGCCUCUCACGUCGGCAACACGAGUUCGAGUCUCGUAGGGGUCA
rnacentral:tRNA from 1 species